GACGAACGCUGGCGGCGUGCUUAACACAUGCAAGUCGAACGGAAAGGCCCUGCUUUUGUGGGGUGCUCGAGUGGCGAACGGGUGAGUAACACGUGAGUAACCUGCCCUUGACGUUGGGAUAACUUCAGGAAACUGGGGCUAAUACCGGAUAGGAGCUCCUGCUGCAUGGUGGGGGUUGGAAAGUUUCGGCGGUUGGGGAUGGACUCGCGGCUUAUCAGCUUGUUGGUGGGGUAGUGGCUUACCAAGGCUUUGGCGGGUAGCCGGCCUGAGAGGGUGACCGGCCACAUUGGGACUGAGAUACGGCCCAGACUCCUACGGGAGGCAGCAGUGGGGAAUAUUGCACAAUGGGCGGAAGCCUGAUGCAGCAACGCCGCGUGCGGGAUGACGGCCUUCGGGUUGUAAACCGCUUUCGCCUGUGACGAAGCGUGAGUGACGGUAAUGGGUAAAGAAGCACCGGCUAACUACGUG
rnacentral:rRNA from 1 species